CACGGGGGGAGCAAGCGUUGUUCGGAAUCACUGGGCGUAAAGGGCGUGUAGGCGGUCAGGUAAGUGAGACGUGAAAUGCCCCGGCUCACCCGGGGACCUGCGUCUCAUACUGCUUGGCUUGAGUACGGGAGAGGAUGUGGGAAUUCCUGGUGUAGCGGUGAAAUGCGUAGAUAUCAGGAGGAACACCGGUGGCGAAGGCGCACAUCUGGCCCGAUACUGACGCUGAGGCGCGAAAGCUAGGGGAGCAAACGGG
rnacentral:rRNA from 1 species